rnacentral:rRNA from 1 species
CAGGCAGUGGAGCGUUUUGGGGUGGGGUGACUGCGUACCUUUUGUAUAAUGGGUCAGCGACUUAUAUUCUGUAGCAAGGUUAACCGUAUAGGGGAGCCGCAGGGAAACCGAGUCUUAACUGGGCGUUAAGUUGCAGGGUAUAGACCCGAAACCCGGUGAUCUAGCCAUGGGCAGGUUGAAGGUUGGGUAACACUAACUGGAGGACCGAACCGACUAAUGUUGAAAAAUUAGCGGAUGACUUGUGGCUGGGGGUGAAAGGCCAAUCAAACCGGGAGAUAGCUGGUUCUCCCCGAAAGCUAUUUAGGUAGCGCCUCGUGAACUCAUCUUCGGGGGUAGAGCACUGUUUCGGCUAGGGGGUCAUCCCGACUUACCAACCCGAUGCAAACUACGAAUACCGAAGAAUGUUAUCACGGGAGACACACGGCGGGUGCUAACGUCCGUCGUGAAGAGGGAAACAACCCAGACCGCCAGCUAAGGUCCCAAAGUCAUGGUUAAGUGGGAAACGAUGUGGGAAGGCCCAGACAGCCAGGAUGUUGGCUUAGAAGCAGCCAUCAUUUAAAGAAAGCGUAAUAGCUCACUGGUCGAGUCGGCCUGCGCGGAAGAUGUAACGGGGCUAAACCAUGCACCGAAGCUGCGGCAGCGACACUAUGUGUUGUUGGGUAGGGGAGCGUUCUGUAAGCCGUUGAAGGUGGCCUGUGAGGGUUGCUGGAGGUAUCAGAAGUGCGAAUGCUGACAUAAGUAACGAUAAUGCGGGUGAAAAACCCGCACGCCGGAAGACCAAGGGUUCCUGUCCAACGUUAAUCGGGGCAGGGUGAGUCGACCCCUAAGGCGAGGCCGAAAGGCGUAGUCGAUGGGAAACAGGUUAAUAUUCCUGUACUUGGUGUUACUGCGAAGGGGGGACGGAGAAGGCUAUGUUGGCCGGGCGACGGUUGUCCCGGUUUAAGCAUGUAGGCGGAUG